CCUACGGGCGGCAGCAGUGAGGAAUAUUGGUCAAUGGACGAGAGUCUGAACCAGCCAAGUAGCGUGAAGGAUGACUGCCCUAUGGGUUGUAAACUUCUUUUAUAUGGGAAUAAAAUGUUCCACGUGUGGGAUUUUGUAUGUACCAUAUGAAUAAGGAUCGGCUAACUCCGUGCCAGCAGCCGCGGUAAUACGGAGGAUCCGAGCGUUAUCCGGAUUUAUUGGGUUUAAAGGGAGCGUAGGUGGAUUGUUAAGUCAGUUGUGAAAGUUUGCGGCUCAACCGUAAAAUUGCAGUUGAAACUGGCAGUCUUGAGUACAGUAGGGGUGGGCGGAAUUCGGGGUGUAGCGGUGAAAUGCUUAGAUAUCACGAAGAACUCCGAUUGCGAAGGCAGUUCACUGGACUGCAACUGACACUGAGGCUCGAAAGUGUGGGUAUCAAACAGGAUUAGAUACCUAGUAGUC
rnacentral:rRNA from 1 species